rnacentral:rRNA from 1 species
GAUCAGUGGCUACAGGACGAACGCUGGCGGCGUGCCUAACACAUGCAAGUCGAACGAAGCAUUUAAGUGAAUCCCUUCGGGGUGAAGCUUUUAUGACUUAGUGGCGGACGGGUGAGUAACGCGUGAGUAACCUGCCUUUCAGAGGGGGAUAACAGUUGGAAACGACUGCUAAUACCGCAUAACGUACAUUUAAGGCAUCUUAGAUGUACCAAAGCUGAGGCGCUGAAAGAUGGACUCGCGUCUGAUUAGAUAGUUGGUGAGGUAACGGCUCACCAAGUCGACGAUCAGUAGCCGGACUGAGAGGUUGAACGGCCACAUUGGGACUGAGACACGGCCCAGACUCCUACGGGAGGCAGCAGUGGGGAAUAUUGCGCAAUGGGCGAAAGCCUGAUGCAGCAACGCCGCGUGAGGGAAGACGGUUUUCGGAUUGUAAACCUCUGUCUUUGGUGAAGAAGAAAGUGACGGUAGCCAAGGAGGAAGCCACGGCUAACUACGUG